UAGGAGGUGAGGUCUCUGGAGGCCAAGCUUGGAGGCUGGUUACCUCAGUGACAGUAAAUGAGCCCUCAGAGACUUGGUUUCCUCUGUUCGAGGAAGCCUUCCCUUUGGUCGAGUGACCUUGGACGCCUCAUGUGGAAGACAAUAGAAGCAUAAGAAAGGAUAAAGCCUGAUAUUGGAGGAGGACUGUCCCAGCGAUCUGCCCAGAUAGAAACAUUCUCACCAGACUAAUUCUCCUGACCCUGUCAGGCCAGCAAGUGGCAAAGGAGGACACCCAGUCUGCCCUGGAGAUGCUCCUGUAUGGCACCAGGGGAAAGGAGCAGAUCCAACUCUCCCCUACCAUCCCCCCUCCCCACACACCUCUGCUUUGAUGGAUCCUACCUGCCCUCCCAUGGGGGAAGGCACAACAUGCCGGGAAAAUGCAGAGGAGCAGCACUCCACUGCCGGGAGCUCAUGGAAAAGCAUCAGUUCAGGGAGUCAGGAUCCUGGGGUCCUGCUCAGCUCUACCUUGACCUCACUGGGUGACCUUGGUUUAACCUCUCUUUGGAUCUUGCUCUGCGAUCAGAUUGGGAUCAACAAUCCCUGACACACA